rnacentral:lncRNA from 1 species
GGUGUUUCUGCCUGAGACAGAGGCGGGACGGCUGUCACCGAGUUCCCCACCACCUCCGCAUCUGGUUGAGACAGCGUGCUCAGUCGCUCUCUUGUGUCUGGCCCUUUGCCCUUUGCCACCCCAUGGACUGUAGCCCAGAGGCUCCUCUGUCCACAGGAUUUUUCAGAAAGGCAUAGUGGAGUGGGUUGCCAUUUCCUCCUUCAGGGGAUCUUCCUGACCCAGGGAUUGAACCCAUCUCCCAUGUCUCUGGCACUGCAGGCGGAGUCUUUACCCGCUGAGCCAACAGGAAGCCCACAGGGCCGAGUGCAUGUUUCUCACAUGUUGGUAACCCAUGCCUGAUGGGAAGAGCACAGCUUGGUGGGUGGCAGGGGACUGAAGAUGUCAAAUCUCCCCCAAGUGUCUCUUCUGAACCUCUAUGACUCGUUUGUCCCGGCCCUGGCCUUGCACAGGUCACACGUCCGUGGGGCAGGACUGGACGCACGGCUUCUCCGCUUGAAUCACUGGAAGGAACAUGAAGACAGAGGAGGGCUUGCAGGGAGAGGCCAAACCAGCUGCUGCCCCCGUCUCGAGUGAAGGCGCCGCCGACCCCUGCCCGGCCCAGGACACACCCAAGUCAGACAGGACCCGAAGGUGAGAGCAUGGGAACAGAACUCACACCUCAGACUCAGCCUUUCUCCACUGCAAAGGUAAGCUAAGAGAUUGUUUGUUUAUUUCAUCAAUAAUUAAGGGUAUACUAGUAUGUAUAUCUCAAAAUAAUACUUAGUUAUUUCAGACAUGGUAUUACAAUGGUCACAUGGUUGAUGGAGGGGGAUGGGAACCACACACUGGAAUGACACCUGUAUUACACAUUGACCUCAAUGGCAAAUAUUUCUCCAAUGAUUCUCAAGAAAAAUACUAUGAGUUAAAAGCUAAAGAGCUUUGUUUAGAAAAACCUGUAUGUACAGGAUAAACUUAAGAGCCUCAAAAAAACAUUAAAAACUGGCCAAGUAAAAUAAAUGACAAAAAUACUGGUUAAACCUUUCA